rnacentral:snRNA from 1 species
AUCUCUUCUCAGCCUUUUGGCUAAGAUCAAGUGUAGUAUCUGUUCUUAUGAAUUUAAAAUCUGUCAAGUAAUUCUAACAUCUCUGUCAUCUUGGUAUUGGCAAUUCAAACUGCUGUAACAAAAUGCCAAAAACUGGGUGGCUCA